rnacentral:rRNA from 1 species
GAUGAACGCUGGCGGCGUGCCUAAUACAUGCAAGUCGAGCGAACAGACGAGGAGCUUGCUCCUCUGAUGUUAGCGGCGGACGUGUGAGUAACACGUGUAUAACCUACCUAUAAGACUGGGAUAACUUCGGGAAACCGUAGCUAAUACCGGAUAACAUGUUGAACCGCAUGGUUCAACAGUGAAAGACGGUCUUGCUGUCACUUAUAGAUGGAUCCGCGCCGCAUUAGCUAGUUGGUAAGGUAACGGCUUACCAAGGCAACGAUGCGUAGCCGACCUGAGAGGGUGAUCGGCCACACUGGAACUGAGACACGGUCCAGACUCCUACGGGAGGCAGCAGUAGGGAAUCUUCCGCAAUGGGCGAAAGCCUGACGGAGCAACGCCGCGUGAGUGAAGAAGGUCUUCGGAUCGUAAACCGCUGUUAUUCGGGAAGAACCAAUGUGUAAGUAACUAUGCACGUAUUGACGGUACCUAAUCAGAAAGCCACGGCUAACUACGUG